AUACGUAGGUGGCGAGCGUUGUCCGGAAUUAUUGGGCGUAAAGAGCAUGUAGGCGGCUUUUUAAGUCGGGCGUGAAAAUGCGGGGCUUAACCCCGUAUGGCGUUCGAAACUGGAGGGCUUGAGUGCAGGAGAGGAAAGGGGAAUUCCCAGUGUAGCGGUGAAAUGCGUAGAUAUUGGGAGGAACACCAGUGGCGAAGGCGCCUUUCUGGACUGUGUCUGACGCUGAGAUGCGAAAGCCAGGGUAGC
rnacentral:rRNA from 1 species